GGAGGAAUACCCAAGUCCGGCUGAAGGGAUCGGUCUUGAAAACCGACAGGCGGUCUUGAAAACCGACAGGAGCUUAACGGCUCGCGGGGGUUCGAAUCCCUCUUCCUCCG
rnacentral:tRNA from 1 species